rnacentral:lncRNA from 1 species
ACCGUCAAAGAUGAACAUAAAAUAACCCUACAAUAGUAUAAAAUCUACACUAGAAUUGUGUAAAUUUAAUGGAGAUGAUCUCACAAUGUAGUGAUUAACCAAAGUGCAAAAACCUCCUCUAACAUUCUGAUUGAAAUACCCAUCCCCUACCUGUAUUUGCACCCAAAAUAAACGUUUUGUUAAAGUGUAAUAUUGUGAGAACCAAAAACCAAAAGCAAAGACUAGCUGAGCUCUUCAACCUUAAUCUAAAUGUAGGUCCUGAUGAUGAGAAAUUCUAACUAUUUUGGUAAAAGCAUACAAUGUAACCAAAAUAUAUCGCAUCUCACUAUCUUGGUAAAAG